UCGUCCAUGCGAUGGUGCUUCAAACAUCAGUAAAAUUUUCUUCCGAUGAGGUGGUGCUUCCAAAGUUGCCAAAUCACAGCUGAAUUGCUUGAAGUAAAUCCUCAUUCCAACCGAAGAAAUAAAAGGUUUGAUCCAAGGUAUGUUUGGUAAACCAGUGUGGAAGAACAACAAUGUGUCCGAAGCAUAUAACUUGCCAUUUUGAAGCAAAUCAUCAUUCCAACCGAAGAAAUAAAAGGUUUGAUCCAAGGUAUGUUUGGUAAACCAGUGUGGAAGAACAACAAUACGUCUGAAGCAUAUAACUUGCCAUUUUGAAGCAAAUCAUCAUUCCAACCGAAGAAAUAAAAGGUUUGAUCCAAGGUAUGUUUGGUAAACCAGUGUGGAAGAACAACAAUAUGUCCGAAGCAUAUAACUUGCCAUUUUGAAGCAAAUCAUCAUUCCAACCGAAGAAAUAAAAGAUUUGAUCCAAAUGUAUGUUUGGUAAACCAGUGUGGAAGAACAACAAUAUGUCUGAAGCAUAUAACUUGCCAUUUUGAAGCAAUAGUAAAGUAGGAUGGAAGCAAAAAAUUAGAUAUACUAGCAAAUGGCUUGGUAAUUAUCUCAUCUUAAUGUUGUUAAGCAUGGGCGCAUAGUGUUGCAAACGACAACAAAGAUAGCACUUGAGGAGAGAUAGAGAACGAAAAAUAAAUAUGCAAGCAGGCAUCGACAGUUGAAUAUAUAUGCAUUACUAUUAUAUUAGAAAAGGCUACUUACAAAAAUUGAAGGAGGCAUUGAAAGCAAGAGAAAUCACACAGGUGAUGAAUUAUAAGGAAGUGUGUUUGUUUAAAAUUAUAUAUAAAUCUCCACACACACUAGAAAGAAAUAUAGUAAAAUCAAGACACACGACUAUAAUUCUGUAUGUACAUGAGAAAGCAUCAAAGAAGCACCUAGGUAGCAUGAAUUUCUAAGCAAUGAUCUUUAUAGGUGAAUUGGAAGCACGAAUGUUCUGAAGCAAUGCAAUGUGUUAGCAUUUCUGGAAAAAAGUUUUAUAAGGAAUGAAGUGAUUCGCUGUGUGGUGGAAUUAGUUUUAUGGAGGCAAUAUAUUAGAACUAAAAAUAUAUAUUUGUUGACUGAUGACAACAUGAAUGUAGGAAGCACAAAAUAUUGACACUCAAUAAUACAGCACAUGACAUUGGCAAUUGGCACUAGUAAGUUUGAUGCACAUGACAUUGGCACUGGUAAGUUUAAUGCCAUGAUGAGGAUGCAUCUGUUGGAGACUUUGGCAUGGAAGCAUUUUUCCAGAUGAUG
rnacentral:lncRNA from 1 species